rnacentral:rRNA from 1 species
UACGUAGGUGACCAGCGUUGUCCGGAUUUACUGGGCGUAAAGAGCGCGCAGGCGGUCGUUCAAGUCGAGUGUGAAAGCCCCCGGCUCAACUGGGGAGGGUCACUCGAUACUGAUCGACUUGAAGGCAGGAGAGGGAAGCGGAAUUCCCGGUGUAGUGGUGAAAUGCGUAGAUAUCGGGAGGAACACCAGUGGCGAAGGCGGCUUCCUGGCCUGUUCUUGACGCUGAGGCGGCGAAAAGCUAGGGGAGCAACGGG